rnacentral:rRNA from 1 species
AUAACUUACAUAGUCUCAGAUAAAACGCUAAGCGAGGCUACACAUGCAGUCGAGGUGCAGCACAUGAGUGCAAUCGAUGUGGCGACCGUCCAACGGUGAGUAACGUAGCAACCUGCCUACAACAGGGAAUACCCGGUGAAGACGGACUUAUACCCAUAACACAGGAUCCCGCAUGGAUAUUUGUAAAGAUUUAUCGGUUGUAGAUGGGCAUGCGUUCCAUUAGCUUGUUGGUGAGGUAACGGCUCACCAAGGCAACGAUGGAUAGGGGAACUGAGAGGUUUAUCCCCACACUGGUACUGAGACACGGACAGACUCCUACGGGAGGCAGCAGUGAGGAAUAUUGGUCAAUGGACGCAAGUCUGAACCAGCCACGUCGCGUGAAGGAAGACGGCCCUACGGGUUGUAAACUUCUUCUGUAAGGGAAUAAAGUGUAGUACGUGUACUAUUUUGCAUGUACCUUACGAAUAAGGAUCGGCUAACUCCGUGCCAGCAGCCGCGGUAAUACGGAGGAUCCGAGCGUUAUCCGGAUUUAUUGGGUUUAAAGGGUGCGCAGGCGGGAGAUUAAGUCGGCGGUGAAAUUUUGCAGCUCAACUGUAAAAGUGCCUUCGAAACUGGUUUUCUUGAGUGUGGAUGAAGUAGGCGGAAUUUGUGGUGUAGCGGUGAAAUGCAUAGAUAUCACGAGGAACUCUGAUUGCGCAGGCAGCUUACUAAACCAUAACUGACGCUCAGGCACGAAGGCGUGGGGAUCAAACAGGAUUAGAUACCCUGGUAGUC